CAGUCGCCGCGGUAAUACAGAGGAUGCAAGCGUUACUCGGAAUCACUGGGCGUAAAGGACGCGUAGGCGGAUUAUCAAGUCUCUUGUGAAAUCUAACGGCUUAACCGUUAAACUGCUUGGGAAACUGAUAAUCUAGAGUAAGGGAGAGGCAGAUGGAAUUCUUGGUGUAGGGGUAAAAUCCGUAGAUAUCAAGAAGAAUACCUAUUGCGAAGGCGAUCUGCUGGAACUUAACUGACGCUAAUGCGUGAAAGCGUGGGGAGCAAACAGGAUUAGAUACCCCGGUAGUCCCUGUCUCUUAUAC
rnacentral:rRNA from 1 species